GUUGAAAUACCAGUUCCCGUACGAUCACCGAAGUUAAGCAACGUCAAGCCUGGUUAGUACAUAGAUGGGCGAUCGCUUGUAAAUACUU